rnacentral:rRNA from 1 species
AACGAACGCUGGCGGUAUGCUUAACACAUGCAAGUCGCACGAGAAAGUCUUCGGAUGAGUAGAGUGGCGCACGGGUGAGUAACGCGUAGGGACCUUCCGACUAGUUGGGGAUAACUCGGAGAAAUCCGGGCUAAUGCCGAAUACGAACAAAGAAGUUGAAAAUAUUUGUUGAAAGAAUGCCUCUACUUGUAAGCAUUCGCUAAUCGAUGGGCCUGCGUGGCAUUAGCUUGUUGGUGGGGUAACGGCCUACCAAGGCGACGAUGCCUAGCGGAUCUGAGAGGAUGAUCCGCCAAACUGGAACUGAGACACGGUCCAGACUCCUACGGGAGGCAGCAGUGGGGAAUAUUGCGCAAUGGGCGAAAGCCUGACGCAGCAAUACCGCGUGAGUGAGGAAGGUCUUCGGAUUGUAAAGCUCUGUCAGGGUGGAAAAACGGCGAGUGGUCUAAUAGGCCAUUUGAUUGAUGGUACACCCAAAGGAAACACCGGCUAACUUCGUGCCAGCAGCCGCCGUAA